CAUUAUUUAUGGGAACAGGUAGGAUAUUUGAAAAUAAAUAAGUUGCCGUAUAAUGGUAUAUUCAAGAAGAUUUUACAAGAUGUACUUUCCAAGAAAUGAAUCAGAUUAAACUGUGUCUGUGAUAUCCUUCCUUUCAAGUUCAAUGGCAUCACCAAAUCAUCAACCAUUGAAAUAUACAGUGAAAGGACAUCAUCUAAAUAGCGGAACGUAAAUAAUGUUGACAUAUGGACAUUUUGCCCUUCUACUUUAUAUUGUCGGUAUCAUUCCGACACAGACAUCAGUCGUUUGGAAAGUUCAAACAGUUCCCAUUAUAUUUGGCGAAGACGUUGUGAUAAAAUGUAUUGUUUCGGAAGAUGCAUGUCGAAUAGAUCAGACAAAACAGUGGACUGGGGGCCAGGGGUACAAGUUAAUUGGAUUAAACGGACAUACAACAGAUAAGUCUAAAUACACAAUGAACGUAUAUAAAUCAACUCUUAACUUUGAACUAAGAGUAAAAAACUUCACCGAAGCUGAUGCUAACAACGAAUAUACAUGUCUAUGUGGAAAAGCGCACUAUACAGCCAUGCUGAUGCUAAAUAAAGCUGGACAUGUGUAUAUACCUUUAGAUGAUGAAAUUAUUGACAACAGCCACUUUAAAGAUAACGCAAUACGUGUUAAUCUGACAAUCAUGAAGAUACAUCCUUUACCAACUUGUUAUUUGCAAUACAAUGGUCUGACAAAAAUAUUAAGAGCAAAUGAAAACGAAAAUAAAAAUGAUACAUUUUAUAAAAUUGUAUAUGAGGAUACAACGGCGGUUCAUCAACAAUGCAACAUAACUUGGUUUUUCAACUGUACCUUUGAAAAAAAGAGUUUACGUACGAACUACCAAAAUGUAUAUACUUGUAACCUCGAUUAUGAUGUGAAACCCAUAUAUGAAUCAUUAGUGAUUCCCGUGAUCAUACUGCUUCUGCUUCUUGUCGUGAUCAUUGUAUAUUGGAAAUGUCGGAAAUCUGAAAAUAGAUGAAGAGGGAUUAGAAUGUUUCACUUUUUAUGUAAGUGUAUAAUAUGAAUAUAAACAUGUAUUUUUAGGUAAGUCUAAUGUGGAAAAUGAAGAAAGCAAUAAUUUACAUCAAAGUCAUACACAGUUACGUUCCAUACGAACAGUCGAAGAAAUUCCAUUGAAUAGUUAAUAAAAUAAAGGUUGUAAGGGGAUGAUCCCCCAUCUUGGAUCGUGCUCGAUUAACGUCUUGAUAAUCGGAUAAAUGUAUGAGCUAUAGUAACAAAUUAAGGUGACGGGACGUUACAAAAAGUACGGUACAUAGUGAAUGUCCUGUGUACGGUAUUUACGACAUAACAGAAAACAUUUUUUAGUGAACAAAGAUAUUUCUAGGCAUAAAUGUCGAGCAUUUAUAAGUUAUUUUAUUUAAACAAAGAACAUUCUGUGCUUGUAUCUUCUUAUUACGAUUGUAUUAUAUACAUAAAAUCAUUUGUUUGAUUCAAACAUGUCAAAUGUAACCUUUGAAAGAAGAUAUCUCAGAUAAUUUAAUUGUAAACGAGAAAUGUAGAGGCUUUUAUUCUGUAUAUUAUUAUGAGGUUAUUUUGUAUUUUUAGCACGCAAAAAUCAGGGUAAACAAAUUUUACUUCAAAUUUUCGAUAAGUAAUUUAUGCAUCUUUUUUUUCAAAUUUUAUGUUUGGUUUCUUUUUUCUACGUGAUUGUGCUGUUUUCUUUUUUUUGUUUUAUAAUAUCACAAUAUAAACUCAUUUUUCAAACAGUUCGGUCAUUGAAGUUUAUAUCCCCUUACUAUUCUCAAUGAGGAAAAUAAGCAGAAAAUAUUAAGGUCCAAUAUGCAGUGAAUAAACAAUUUAUAUACGUUUCUGCACGAUUACCUAAACCAUACAGUCUUAAUUUUAGUUAGAAAUCGACUGACAGUUUUGAUGUUUAUUCAUAUAUUAUAUCAAUAAUGUGUAGUGUGGUUUCUAUCUAGGAAGUUUUUUUAUAUGCGGUUAUCUUAAGUCUCAAAGGUUGAUUAGUUAUCCGAGUGAACCUACUGGGGGAAAAGGAAAUCAGAAUACAUUUCUUACUAAGUUAAUCAAAAUCAGGCAUUAUAAACUCCAUAUUAGAAUUUACGAUGAAAGAAACGAUUUUUCAUUCCCUAUUGUAUACAUUACUUAAAACAUUUUUAGUAAAUGUUUUAAGUAAUGUAUUCGUUCAUAGAUACAAAGAUUUGAUUAAUAAAUUUGGCUGUAUCUGUAGAAAACUCAUUUAAACGGUAUUUGACAUCCUAAAUUUUACAGUAAUAUUGUUCUAAAAGCGGGGAAAUCACUGUAUGAUUCGUGUGAACUCAUCGGACACUUAAACAAAAAUAUUAGUAAAGGUUAUCUAAUAAAUGUUGUAAUACGAUCUUUGUACAUUAUUUACAUUGGCAAACAUAUCGAUUUUGUCAUCAACAAAUUAAAACAUAAUUACUUUUGCAUUCUUGUCGAUUGUUUUUUUUUUAUGUUAAAAUACACAUUCACGUUUAUUUUCUAUAUAGAGAUUCCCUUAUCCGUAUAUAACAUGAUACAUAUUUAUUACAAGAUUAAAUCCUAACUAUCCUACUGCCUGUCGAUACUUUUAUUUUGGCAUUGCAUAAGUCAUGACUUCUUUGACUGUCCAUGGCGUUAGCACACUAAAUCCCAUGGGAUGGAAUUUAAUUGCAUUUAGUUUCUGAUAUAUGAUUUUUUUUGUUAUCAACUGUGUUUGGUUUUUAAAUAGCUUUCAGUAACUGCAAGUACUAUCAAUUCGUACUUUCGUGUUAAUUUGAACUGUUGACAAAUUUGAAAUGCAUUUGUGUUAUUCAAUGAUUACUUGUUUUGUGUUAUAUCUCGUCUCACUUUUUUUUAAUAUAUACCCAUUUGAUAAGUAUUGUGUAUGACGAUAAAUAUUCACUUCUGUAUUCGUACUGUGAACAUUUGUUUUUAUAUUUUGUAAAAUAUAAAAAAAAAUGUUCCGUAAUUUCACAAUAAGAUUCUAAUAUUUAAAUUUUCCUGUGUAUUUUACUUUAAUUGACCCCAUUUUUUUCGAAGUUAGAAUUGUUUUGAGUCAUUGUUACAUGAGAUCUAAAACUGCAAAAACAUGUCGUUUAGUAAGUUGAGAUAAAGACAUCCUGUAACAUUUUCGUGAUAUUGACCGCACGACUUAUGUUCUAUCAAUUUCAGUUGUUCUAUCAAUUUCAGUUGUUCUAUCAAUUUCAGUUGUUCUUCGUGAUAGCUAUGUUGGGACAAUUUUUCUUGUGAGGAGCACACCUCUGUUCUCACACACUGUGUUAUGUUACCAUAAUUGUCUUCUUUCCAUCAUCGAGAAUAUGUGGCUGUUUCGCAUCACUUUUAUUGCACAUUGAAAAUAUGUGAAAAAAAGAAUAACAUUGAAAUAACAAUUGUGUAGAAUUAAAACUUUUAUGAAAACCACUGUUUUAUUAAACUUUUAUGCUUGAAUUGUACAAUAAAAAAAAUC